GCCGGGCCGUCGGGCGGGAAAAUUUUUCCGCGCAGGAGGAGGGUUUAUCCAGUGUGGAUACCCAACCGCCCCUCCACCCGGUGUCAAGAGUACACGGUCAGCGCUGAGCUGCGGGUGUAGCCCAAAGGACUUGAGACCUCGUGUUCUGGGAGAGGACAGAGCUCACCGUCUCCAGCUGAGGAAGAGUAAGGUCAGCCAUGGUGGAGUUUUACUCACAGAGUGUCGUAAUUUUGGAUCUGUCUUAAGAUGAUCACAUACUUCAACUUGAAGGCUAAACUAGAAACAGACUACAAAAGACAAGGACUACUUUACUCUAAACGCAUAAGUGAGGUUUGAAUUAAAAUGACUGUGAAGUACAGCUAUCUAGCAACUAUAAGAGAUGUCACCCAGAAGAUGAGAACGAUAUAGAGAAGCAAGCUGUUGCUUUUCUUCACGGAGGACACAGAGGACCAUCCAAGGCAGCCCUGUCAUGCCCCUCCUACCCACCCACCUCACCAUGGUUUGGGGCCGCAUCCUGAAUGUAUGCGUUCCUCAAGGACAGUAGCUCCCACAGGCCAAGAAGCAUCUGGCCGUGUGGGUGAUAUAUUCUCCAGCCUCUCCAAAGUUGUGUAGAUUUCCGUUCUCUGUUGAUGUUCUUCAUCUUGUCAUCUAUGUUUUGUGCACACUAAUGG